UGGAUACAGAAGAAGCCGUCACUCAAGGUGGGACACUCCUGACAUGCAAACUGAUAUUUCAGAAUACCUUUUUAGGAUCGGUUUAGGGUUACGGAUGUUAGAGCUGUGAUGGUGGUGUGUCCCGUGCCUCCAUUGUGACUCUUGUCCGCCACCUCCGUCUCCCUGCCCAGUGUGUGUGUGCCACAUUUCACCAUGACCCUACACCCUCUCCUCGUCCUGUCCCACGCCCUGGGGCUCUUGGCGCUGUGUUGUCUGUCGUCCAGUGUGAACAGCAGCAGCUUCAGCACUGUUGCCCGCCGGAUAAUGACAAACCAGAUCCGAUGCUCUCAAGCAUGUAAGUUUGAAUCAGGGUCACACUGAAAUGCACACAGAUACAUUUACGAAAUGUAGCCUAAUGUUCACUGAUCAGUUAUUAAUAUGUAGUCUUGCUGUUACUUGUGGAAACAGUAGUUACUUUUAACCUGUCUGAAAGCUUUGUAGAACAUGAGCUGCAUGCUACCUACCUGCCUGUGAAAGCUUAGUACCGCCAAACAGGAACUUGGCGGAUCUGGGAGUAGUUGGUAGAAUAUCAUCUUUUUAAAGAAGCAAAGCCAUGUGUUGCUUCUCCAAAUCACAUAUCUCUACUCGAAGGACAUAUCAUUUGAAAGAAGCCAUGUGUUUCAGAUUUAACAUGAAAGUGAUGCGUCGGUCUGACUGUGUUGUUUAUGAGCCUGGUGCUGCCAUUGCAGCUAUAGCCCUUGAGUCUGUUGUGAGGUGUUCUUUAUUAAAUUCCAUCCACACCCAUGGGGCUACCUGCGGGUCCCGUUGGACAAAUGUGGCAGAUCCAAACAUAAACCAACAGCAGUCUAUCUUGUUGGGAGUUGCUGUAAAUAUCCCAGACCACCGCCUCUUCCCCCCACACGUCCCACCGUAAACAAGGUUUGCGAGAGGCGUGCACUGUGGUUUCAGAGUAGUAGAGCUCAAAAACAAGGCUGACAUUACCAUCUGGAAGAAUGUAAUGCGUGGGAUGAGCGCUAUAAAUACACAGCCUUUCAGCAUUCCAGCUUUCAGUCCUGUAUGUAUCGGUCACCUCAAGCCCCUAGCAUGGCUUGACCCCUCUAGCACCUUCUGGUUUUCCAACACCCCUGCUUCUCCCAAGUCCUGAAUGUCCAC
ensembl:lncRNA